UCCAAGAUAGCAAAAAUUUAAGAUGUUACCUGAAGGAAUUUCUGGAGCCCUACUCUAAACCCAAUCCUGAAGAUGUCACAGAAGGGAGAAAGAAAAUGGUGGAUCUAAGAAAAUAUUGGAAAAACUGAAAAGUCCCUGGAGAGACAGAAGUUGGCUCCGUUCUGAGCCCUAGCUGAAGCAACAACCAACUAGAAAAUGCAUUAGAAAUCCAGGCAUCAUCCAGAAGAGCAUUAAAAAACCUAAGGAAGACAUUGGAGAAUUCGUAUGCUAUUUUAGCUGGCUCUGUGAUUGCAAUCACACAAAUCACUACAUUCCAGAGAGAUUUCACGAACAGGAGGUUUUUCCAUUUCAGCCUUUCAAGGUAAAACAUUAUCUUUUCAUUUUCUAUAUACUCCAGGGAAUCAAGAAAUUAUGAAACGUAAGCCAUAAUUAUAAUAGCAUUUCUAAGUCUUCCUUGAUGGUCACAGUUAAGAAAAGGAAAGAGGAGAACUCUUUUGUUCCCAGUGACAUUAAAAUGCCCAGUCAGAUAAAAAUAAUAUUGAAUUGGCUUUCCUUUGUUCAACUGUUGUAACCUCCUGCAAUCUCACUGCCUAUUUCACCCCAAAAUGAGUUAGUGUUGCAGAGCAAGAUAAUGACUCUCCCAUAAGCUUAUGAAUUGCUAUAGAACUGGGACUGUUCGGUGCAAAGAACUGAAAUGAAAUCAGAAGGUGAGUUGACUAUAGAUUUGUCAUACAUUUCCCAGCUGUUCAAUCUGGCCUUCUGUUCCUAUCUUUGGUACUUUUAUUUAUGCACAUGUAACACCAUGAGGAAGCAGAGAGUAUAAACAGCAACUAUCUCUUGGGUCAUUCAAUUUUGGCUUUAUAUUUUCUACUACACUUAUGACUGCUGGUCACAUUUCUAUUCCAUUUGGGUGGUCUAAUUUAAAUGCGGAGUAUCAUAUGAGGGAUGGCAAGAAUGCAGGCUUCCUGAGGACUGAUCUUUGCUAGAGCUAAGACCUAGUGUCCAUGGCUUCCAUUCACUGCUGAAGGAAGACAGUCCCUUAAGUGUAGAGCCAUGUUUAGUAGUUGAGAAUAGAAUUCUUUUUAGAAAUAAAGAUUGUAGGGGCGCCUGGGUGGCGCAGUCGGUUAAGCGUCCGACUUCAGCCAGGUCACGAUCUCGCGGUCGGUGAGUUCGAGCCCCGCGUCAGGCUCUGGGCUGAUGGCUCGGAGCCUGGAGCCUGUUUCCGAUUCUGUGUCUCCCUCUCUCUCUCUGCCCCUUCCCCGUUCAUGCUCUGUCUCUCUCUGUCCCAAAAAUAAAUAAAAAACGUUGAA